GCCAGCAGCCAUAUCACCCUGCCACUCAAAACUGGUAACCCACGGAAGCUAAGCAGGUGUGAGCCUGGUCAGUACCUGGAUGGGAGACCUCCUCGUAAAAACUAAGGUUGCUGCUGGAA
rnacentral:rRNA from 2 species